AAGUGAACACAGUCACUUUCAGGUAUAGGCGGGGAAGUCACAUGGGCCCCGCGUCUCUACCGGGCGGCCCUUGAAUUGCCCGACUACCGGAAUGCAGCACGCACAG
rnacentral:ncRNA from 2 species